CGCCCAUCAGCUAGCUCUCACCCCUAAAAACAACAUAUAAACCUUAAUACACCCAAAUACCCCCUCACCCCACCUAAACAAAACAUUUUCCCACCCUAGUACGGGAGACAGAAAAGGAUCUCCGAAGCUAUAGAAAAAGUACCGCAAGGGAACGCUGAAAGAGAAAUGAAAUAAUUCAGUAAAGCACAAAAAAGCAGAGAUUAAUACUCGUACCUUUUGCAUCAUGAUUUAGCCAGUAAACCCAAGCAAAGAGAACUUUAGUUUGACACCCCGAAACUAGAUGAGCUACUCCAAGGCAGCCUAUCAAUAGGGCAACCCCGUCUCUGUGGCAAAAGAGUGGGAAGAACUUCGAGUAGAGGUGACAGACCUAUCGAAUCUAGUUAUAGCUGGUUGCCCGAGAAAUGGACAGAAGUUCAGCCUCCGACCUUCUUCACUCACCAAGCAAAGCCAUAAAGGCCCCACAGACAACAAGAAGCUCAGAGAGUUAGUCAGAGGGGGUACAGCCCCUCUGACCCAAGACACAACUUUUUAGGGAGGAAAAAGAUCACAGUAACCAAAGGAAAAUGUCCCAGUGGGCCUAAAAGCAGCCACCCGAACAGAAAGCGUUAAAGCUCAAACAUCUACUUAGCCUAGUUAUUACGACAACCCCGUCUUAAGCCCCCAAUCCUACCGGGCCCUCCCAUGCAUCCAUGGGAAGGACAAUGCUAAAAUGAGUAAUAAGAGGGUCUCAUGCCCCUCUCCCUGCACACACGUAAAUCGGAUCGGACUCUCCACCGAACCUUAACGGCCCCAAACAAUAGAGGGCACUGAAUGAAAUUCAACAACUGGAAAAAUAUUCAACCUCCCCCCGUUAACCCCACACCGGUGUGCAACCAAGGAAAGACCAAUAGAAAAAGAAGGAACUCGGCAAACACAUUAAGCCUCGCCUGUUUACCAAAAACAUCGCCUCUUGAAUCACAACAAAUAAGAGGUCCCGCCUGCCCAGUGACUAUAUGUUCAACGGCCGCGGUAUACUGACCGUGCAAAGGUAGCGCAAUCACUUGUCUUUCAAAUGAAGACCUGUAUGAAUGGCAUCACGAGGGCUUAACUGUCUCCUUUUUCAAGUCAAUGAAAUUGAUCUCCCCGUGCAGAAGCGGGCAUAAUUACAUAAGACGAGAAGACCCUAUGGAGCUUUAGACGCUAAGGCAGACUACGUCAAACACCCCCUAACAAGGGACUAAACUUAAUAGCCCCUGCCCUGAUGUCUUUGGUUGGGGCGACCAUGGGGAAACAAAAAACCCCCACGUGGACAGGAAGCACUACCUAACAAACCUCCUAUAACUCAGAGCCCCCGCUCUAAUAACCAGAAAUUCUGACCUACAAGAUCCGGCAAGGCCGAUCAACGGACCGAGUUACCCUAGGGAUAACAGCGCAAUCCCCUUCCAGAGCCCAUAUCGACAAGGGGGUUUACGACCUCGAUGUUGGAUCAGGACAUCCUAAUGGUGCAGCCGCUAUUAAGGGUUCGUUUGUUCAACGAUUAAAGUCCUACGUGAUCUGAGUUCAGACCGGAGCAAUCCAGGUCAGUUUCUAUCUAUGACGCAUUCUUUUCUAGUACGAAAGGACCGAGAAGAAGGGGCCCCUGCUCUAAGCACGCCCUACCCUUACCUAUUGAAAACAACUAAAAUAGGCAAAAGGGGUAAGCCCAAUUGCUUGAGAAAAUAGCAU
rnacentral:rRNA from 1 species